AACAGCUCAAAUUUGAAAUCUGGCCUCUUUGGGGUCCGAGUUGUAAUUUGUAGAGGGUGCUUCGGGCGCGAUGCCGGUCUAAGUUCCUUGGAACAGGACGUCGCAGAGGGUGAGAAUCCCGUACGCGACCGGCGAUCAAGCCUGUGUGAAGCCCCUUCGACGAGUCGAGUUGUUUGGGAAUGCAGCUCAAAAUGGGUGGUAAAUUUCAUCUAAAGCUAAAUAUUGGCCAGAGACCGAUAGCGGACAAGUAGAGUGAUCGAAAGAUGAAAAGCACUUUGGAAAGAGAGUCAAACAGUACGUGAAAUUGUUGAAAGGGAAGCGCUUGCAAUCAGACCGGUCCGGAGGCGAUCAGCCGCUGCUCGUUCAGCGGUGCACUCGCCUGCGAUCCGGCCAGCAUCGGUUUGGGUGGCGGGAUAAAAGUCCCGGGAAUGUAGCUUCCCUCGGGGAGUCUUAUAGCCCGGGUCGCAAUGCCGCCCGCCUGGACCGAGGACCGCGCUUCGGCUAGGAUGCUGGCGUAAUGGUUGCAAGCG
rnacentral:rRNA from 1 species